UACGUAGGGUCCGAGCGUUGUCCGGAGUACUGGGCGUAAAGCGCGCGCAGGCGGCGGUGCUGGCCCGGCGUGAAAGCCCCCGGCUCAACCGGGGAGAGUCGUCGGGGACCGCACGCUUGAGGGCGGUAGGGGCUGGUGGAAUGCCUGGUGUAGUGGUGAAAUGCGUAGAGAUCAGGCAGAACACCUGGGGCGAAGGCGGCCAGCUGGGCCGUCCCUGACGCUGAGGCGCGAAGGCGUGGGGAGCGAACGGG
rnacentral:rRNA from 1 species